CUUGGAGAUAAAACUUGGCCCUAUUCCUUUUAACCUCCAGGCCUUUGCCCAACAUGUCCCAUUUCCCUGAAAACCUUUAAACUUGUGCAACUGAUGAGAGUUCAAACAAAGCUUUGUGCUAACCAGGUGUUUCUUUGAAAUUGCAAUAUUCUUGUUAUGUAAUUGGCACUGGUGUCUGGCAUGUUCCAGUGUGGCUGGCUUCACAGCUGUUUACAUAUUAAAGUGCCAUGUUUGCAUUUACUACUACUGUUCCAGCAACUCAGUGAGUAAGAUUUACACGGCGGGGGGAGGACCAGAAGAAUCCUUGGUAUCAGAGAGAACGGCUUGGAUGACCAUGAGGCUGCCUUCUCAUUCUUACUAUGAAGAUGGUGCCUGGGUAGGUGUAGAAGGAGUGGAGUCAGAGAUCAAGAGACUCAGAGUGGUAGGACUCUUGAGCAUUCUGAGAAAUUUUUUGCUUCCUACAUGAUCUUCAAAGAAGAUGUUCUCAUUCCAUAGGAAAAGUCAUUAUGGGCUGGUGAGAUGACUCAGCAGCA
rnacentral:lncRNA from 1 species